ensembl:lncRNA
UUUAUGAUGAUUUUUCGUGGCAUUGCUUUAUUAUUUUAUUUUACUUUAUGUUUUUUUUUCCUCAUUUCAACAUGCGUGAUCUGAUUAUUUUUUAAUUUUAAUUUUUAUUUACUUAUCUGUUUAUUUAUUUAUUUCAGUAGUUGGACCUUUAUGUCUGCUUAAUCCAAGCAAAGGAAUACAUUUCCAAGCACCAGAAAAAUCAUAGACCUGUGGACUUAUCAGAGAUGCUAGAAUCCAAAGAGCAGAACUUGGUCAACAUUCCCGUGUUCUCUGGAGAUGAAGGAUGGGCUGACUCUCCUUUCCUUCUUUAUUAGCUCAAGAAUGACAUUCCCGGAAAAAAAAAAAUCAGUUCUGAAGAAUGUAGAAGAUGGAUUCCAAAUCAAGCCUACACUUCUCCACCUUCUCAGUAUGAAUCUCUCCCACCCAAAGCAAACCCAGGGGAGCAGCUUCUGAUUCCUCUUUCAGGUGCACAAAGGCAGCCUCUCCCUAAAAUACCACAUUCUAACGUACUAUCUUCACUUGUUGUUAAUAAACCUGCUCCAUCCAGGUGUACUUUUAAAUACUGACAUGCACUUAAGAGGCACACUACAUUGAAGCUAUGGUAAAACUCUACCCAAGUACAAGCUAAAAAUAGUUCAUCUCUCUUUCUUCCAUAUAAAACAUGGAAAACUGAGUUAAUCUGAGUAGAACAUGCUCAGUGAGAAUAAAAGUGUGUUACACGUUACCCAAUGCAUUUGCAUUACGUGCAAAUAUGCAGUGUGUAUAUUUAUUACAUAGUAAUGUGCAUACAUACGCAAGUGCAUAGUUAUUACAUAGUAAGUUUCUCCAAUCCAAGCCACCAAUUCAAAAUAAGAAAAUCCAGCAAAGUUUUAGCCUACUCAAAGAUGUUAAAGAAACAGAGGGAUCUGAAUACAUCCCAAGAAAGACAGAAAGAAUUAACAAGGUCCCACAUGAAGACAAGUAGAUAUACAUAUCUGGGAGGUAAAUGGUGAAAAGAUGGAUAUAAUAUUCAUCAUUAAUUAUUAUAUUCUUGUUCUGAAUGCUCCAUGGCAGUAAUAGGAAUAUUUUACAAGGAUUAAGGAGGAUCUUUAGCCUGGAAGUAUUAAAUAAUUGUGGAGUGACCUAGCAUUUAUCCUUUGUCUUAGAAUAGCAUCUAGGAGCAAUGAUUAAGUGCUAACUGGAAUAAAUACAGCUAGCUCUUUUCAACCUCAAGAUUUGCCACAUAGGGGGAAAAAAAAAGAGAAAAAAUGGCUGGAUGAAAAUAUGAAGUAAGCCUUUUUACAGGACUUGUAGUAAUUAUAUCUUCGGUAUUUUUCUUCUUUGACCAUCUUUUAUGCACACUGGAAACAAGGAUCUCAUCUCAUGUCCUUCAGAAGAACGUGUUUUCAAAAUGUGAAGAAUCCAGCCAUCCCAUAAUUCUGUCCCUCUGUUACCUGUCGAUUCAAGCUCUGUAUGGUUAAUGUAACUUGAAGGAGGAAGGCAGGUCUUAGGGCUGGAAUACAAAUUUGAGUAUUAAGAAAGAUACUUCAGAUUUACUUUUAACAUGAUGGGAAUUCAUUUUCUGAUUUGUGCUAAAUAUCACCUGGCUUUAGGUCUCAUAAUUUAUCUCACGUAUCAUGUCUAGGGUGUAGCAAAUGACCCAUCUAUGACCGUGGAAACAUUUGGAAAGAAAAAUGAGUGGAGAUUUUGUUCUAUCGAGACAGCACUGAAGCACACCCGUUCCUAUCAAUAGGAUCUAUUUCUAGACCAUUAAAAUCAAAUCCAUCCCAUCUAAAAUGUAGAAUUUUGGCCCCUCAUAGAGGUGGAGUUUGGUAGAUAUGGACAUUUAUGCUACGGAUCCAGUAGUUUCAGCUCUUAAGUUUUCAUCAGUGAGUUACUAUGUCACAACCUCUGAAUGACCAAAUGGGAAUUGUGAAAAGGUGCCUAACAUUUCAGAAUGCAACUGGUCUGCAGCUGGCAGGCAUUUCCUCAGUUCAGACAAAAAAUAAAGUCACUAAAAAUCAACAGCUGAAUGAAUAUUCAAAGGCAUUUUGAAGAUGGAGGUGUAGGAAAUAAAAAUAACCAAUUUUUGAAUUAAUCUAAAAAAAAAUGGAAUGUAAAUAGUUUAUUUCACUGGACUUGCAUUUUCUUGGUUUCAGUGUCUAUUGACUAUGAGGAAAAAUGUGUAGAAGACUUAAAUAGUACUUCAUAGCUUUAUUCUCAGGCUGUCAAAUGUAUUCCUUGGGAUUGGGAUUUUUCAAGGGGUUUCAAUUCAUUCAAUUGAUUAUAAAAGCCAAAUAUAUAUAUAUAUAUAUAUAUAUAUAUAUAUAUAUAUAUAUAUAUUCAUUUUGGUGGUGGAGGAUGGUGGUGUAAACCCCUAAGGAACUUCAGGAUAUCGAAGAAUCUGUCCUAGCUCUCUGAGAACAAAUGAAGUGUAUAUAUAAGUUUGAACCUGCGAUCCAGUACGUAAUUACCUUACAGAAUAUUUCCCAGUUGUUAAUCCAAAGUUUACAUGCUGUGAAUUAAGCCAUUUUCCUUUUUUUUUUUUUUUCCCAACGGAUGGUGCACUUGAAGACUCUUUGAUCACAGUCUGUCAAUAGUGAUACAGUUUAAUAGAUCCUUUGCCACUGUUCCAAUUUUAAACACAUUCUCUCUUAAAAUAUCUCUAUAUCCAUGUUUUGUACAACCUUGUGGUCUCUCCCCACUUUUCUUAAAACCUGGACUGAUUGGGUACAGUGACAGUGUUCACUUUUGGACUCAUCAAUGCCAAACAGAAAAUGCAUUCACGUAUGUCUUUUCAAAUCACAUCUCAGGGUGAAAUCUCUUUUCUAUUUUUUUCAGCACCACAUUCCCAAGACUCUGUGUGGUGAACCUGUGUCGCUCAUCCUCUUCCUCAGUGCUGUUGUAAUUCUCUGUUUAUUUUUUUCACAUUUUAUUAUGAUCUUUCUUUCCUAAUAAUUAAAGCCACUUGCCACUUAUCUUUAUUUGGCUUUAUCUUGCUGGUCUGUCUCUCUGUUUUGAAGUGACCAUUUAGUAUUCAGCACUUAAGCACCAAAUGUUAAGCACCAAACCUCUGCUUUUGCUGCAGUCCAUUUUUGUACCCACUGUGUUCCAUCCUCUGAAUCACAGACAGAAGUGCUCAAUUUGCCGUGAAUGAUAUUCUCCAAUAAAAAGUUAUUUGAUGUGGCCAUCCAUUUUUCCCAGUGAGCUAUAGCAAAAUAUCCUCUGGAUAUAUUUUUGUAUACUGGUUUUAUUGUAAUUUAAUUAAUACUAUCUUUUCUUGUUAUCCCAUGAGAAUGCAGUGUGGGUUGGCAACUAAAAGCUUUAAAAUCAACAUAUACUACUUCUCUGCCUUUUGCAAUGUGCUAUGCUUGUAGAAGGAAAUAGGUUUUGUCUGACAAUUUGUUCCUGGCACAUGAAGUGUUUCUUAUUGCUAUAAUUUUAUGAUCUUCUUUUGAAUUAAUAAACAGCAUGUUUUGGCAUGUUGAAAUAAGUAUGAGUGGUGUCCCUUUUCCUGCAUCUCUUUUUACAAAAGGAAACAGUAUAGUACCUUUGAAUCCAUUCUGAAGUGUGUAUGCAUAUUAGCUAAUGAGCAGAUACAUGGAAGAAUUUUUAGCAAUGGGUAAAUAUCCUUGUCAACAUCAGAAUAAUUGGCUGUAAUCUUAUCACAUAUUUUAUUCCAAUAAAUCAUAUUACUGCUCUGUUCAUUGCUGUUAGUUGGAAUAACCUUUUAGAUAUUUGCAGCUACAUGAUCAUUUACGGUCUGGAUUUUGCUGAUGACUCAUAUCCAGCAGAAUCACAGUAGUACAGAGCUCUGCAGAAUACUUCUGAUGCAAGAAACUGAGUUGUAUAAGCAGAAGAAACAAAACCUCCAUCAUUUAAAGGCGAGAAAACUAGGCCAGCACCAGUGAAAGACAGUUAAGUCAUCCACAAUGAGUAAUUCUGACAUUAAAGAGAAGAUAAUGUGGUUAUUUAGAAUAUUUUCAGCCUGGUCCAUAAAAGUAAAAUCUUGAUGAUCACUGUGAGAUGCUCUUUGGAAGUGCAAUUGGGUGGGUCUUCAUAACUAAGGAGUGCAAGGAGUAAUCAGAAAAGACUAAUUCUACUACAUUUGAAUAUUGCGUCACUGCCUCGUAAACCAACUGUAAUACAGGUGAUUUAUAUAAUAUCUGUAAAAGAAAAGUGUAAAGAACUGGGUGUAGUUUUGUCACAAGCAUAAAGGAGUACAUAUGAAGAAAGAGGCUUCUAAUGUAACAUUAAGAAAAAGUGUUUCUAAUAUCCCUUCUCAUGCAUGUAUAACUACUCAUCUACUCUCCACCACCAAGCCAUUAGAGUAGGUGUGCGUUAAAAAAAAGAUGAACUCCGUUCGGAGGAGGAGGGAAAUGUGCAAUCGUCAUAUAUCUUCAGAACCCAUACGUGUUAGGGCACUCUGUGUGCUGAAACAUAAUUGCCAGUUGGUUUCUUAUUAGCUAAACUGAGGGAAAAAAUGGAAAAAAAACUAAAGCUGAUAUUUAAUAUGAUACGGAAUGUAUUUCAGAAUUGUGCUACAAGGUCAAGAAAAAUCUGUCUGCUAUGCAUGUGAUCUGAUUAUCUGAAGGUCAUCUAAUUACAUAUUCUAGAAACACUCUGGAAUUUAUCAGGACUUAUUUGAUAAAAUAAUGGUAGCAAAAUCCUCCCCUUUAUUCCUCUGUGCU